rnacentral:rRNA from 1 species
ACAAGAAAUAAUCUGUCUUAGAUUAAUAUAUUGAAUUUAACUUUUAAGUGAAAAGGCUUAAAUAAUCUGAAGGGACGAUAAGACCCUAUAAAACUUUAUAUUGAAAAGUGAUAGGUAUGGUUUGUUUAAAGUAAUUACCUUUAAAGUAUUUGGUUGGGGCGACAAGAAUAGAAUAGAAAGUAACUGUUUUUUUUUUUUUACAAUGAUGUUUGGGUGGGUGAUCCUAAAAUGGAUUAAAGAUUAAGUUACUUUAGGGAUAACAGCGUAAUUUUCUUUAAGAGUUCUUAUCGAUAAGAGAGUUUGCGACCCCGAUGUUGAAUUAAAGGUUCUUUAUGGAGUAGAGUCUAU